AUCACUCCUGCAUGCCUCUGCCUAUAAAUAGUAUCAGCUUAUUCUCGAUUUGAUACAACAUUUUUCUUUGUGAGAGGUGAGCAGAACAAACAGAGGAGUGUAUUCGUUGCGGUCUCAGUCCAGACUUUCAGAGGGGUGUAUUCCUUGCGGUCUCAAUCUAGACUUCAGAGGGGUGUAUUCCUCAGUCUCAGUCCAGACUUCAGAUUUAUGGAUGGCAGAAAUGUUACUGCUUGUUUCCUCGUAUUACUUGUGUUUCUUGGGAACUCGAAUAUUGCAGCAGCUGAAUGCUGGGAAACUACUUCGAGUAGUCCGAUCUGCGUAGGCUUUCUGUGCAAGGGGACGUGUUGGAUUGGUGCAAAAAUCUGGAAAGCCAAGGUCAAGGUUCACAAGUGUAUGGGAUCAACACUGAGCAGCAGCUGUUACUGUUACUAUUGUGACAAUAAGCCCUGAAGAUAGAUUAUUGCCUGCAACUAUUGAAAGGAAAUCAAAGAUUUAUUCGUUGCUUUUUUAGCUAAGGAAAGAAUAACUAAAACCUGGAAUUUAGUAAGAUAAUUAGUUUUCUAGUUUAUGAAAUUGUUCUUCUUAAUUUUCCUAGAUUUUAUUAGUAGUAAUAUUUAGUCACUUACUUCAAUUAAUGGUGUUUAUUGUAUUUAUGUAUCCUCCUGUAUUUUUGAAGCUUGCACUUACUAUGGUGAAAUGAUGGAUUUUACAGGCGUAAAAAUUGGCUAUAUUUAUUUAGAGUAGUAUGAACAUCUACGGCGGCAUCCUAUUCAUGAUACUGAAAAUUUUAUGUCUUGGUUCAAUUAGAUCAACAUUCUGGAA